AGUGUUUACCCUCAGGUGCUGGUCCUGGUUUGGGUGGUGUGCCCGGUGCAGGUGGAGCUUACCCUGGAGCAGGAGGAGCUUACCCUGGAGGUGAGGGGAGAAAGAGAGUGUGUGAUAAAGACACCUCUGACCUUCUACUGGACAGUACCUGACAGUGUACAGUGCCACCAAACAAAACUACUAGACAGGACAGCCACAGUUGACAUUACUACUAUUGAGAAUACAAGUGAAACAUUUAGCUUUUUGUGAUCUAUACUGGCAGUGAGAGUAUAUCUAAAGAUUUUCAGAGGAAGGCCAAGGGUCAGGCAGAUUUUUUUUAAAUUACAUUUAUUUGACAUUUUUUAAAUUUCAGGAUAUAAUCCUGCUGCAGCCAAAGCUGCUAAAUAUGGUAAGAAAUAUCACUCAGAACAGCAUUAUCAGAGUUUUAGCUAAUAAGACUAAUUUGAGUCGUUUUCUUGUGACCAUCCACCGUAGGAGUCCCAGGAGGUGCGGGUGGCGUCCCAGGUCUUGGAUCAGUAGCAGGAGGAGCAGGAGGAGUACCUGGAUGGUUACCCGCAGGAGCUGGAGGAGUUCCAGGGGGUGCAGGUGCAGGCCUAGGAGCUGGAGGAUUUGGUGGAGUACCAGGAGGAGGAGGAGGAGGGGGUGUACCUGGGGCUGGAGGUGAGCCUAAAAGUAUACUACACAGUGAACACUACUCUCAUCUCAGUAGUGUUGCUCUUUACUGUGUGUAUAUAUUAAGGACGUUAUUCAGAUAUGAUAUUGUAAACUAGAUGGUUAUAUUUGGCAAAUCUAUAAUCAUUUUUAGACUAUAAAAUCACAAGUGAUUAAUGUUUUGCAUUUCAGGAUAUAAUCCUGCGGCAGCCAAAGCAGCUAAAUACAGUAAAUAAUCACUCAAAACAACAACAUCAGAAUUGGUUCAUUGAUUGAAUUCAUGCUGAAAUGUACUUCCACUAUUAUCUCAUUUAGUUCCACUGUUAACUAAUUGAAGUUAGUUAGACAUGCCUCAGAAAUCCAAUGGUUUUCUCGUGUCCCUCUACACAGGACUCCCAGGAGGAGGUGCAGGCAGGCUCCCAGGUGCUGGCUCAGUCGCAGGAGGAGCAGGAGGAGUACCUGGGGCUGGAGGUACAGAAAGGAGCACCAUUGGGGUGCAGGACGUAAUGUAGUUUGACUUUACUGUAUGUGUACUGUAAUGGCUUGGCGGAAUUUCCUUUUUACGUAUUAAUGUUUUACAUUUCAGGAUAUAAUCCUGCUGCGGCCAAAGCCGCUAAAUAUGGUAAGAAACGUCACUCGUAACAGCAACAUCAGAGUUGCAACAUUGGUUGUAACUCAUGUUGAAGUGUCUGUCCAAUUUUAACUAAGCCUUGUUUUCAUGUCAACCUCCACCACAGGAGUUCCAGGAGGAGCAGGUGCAGGGUUAGGAGGAGCUGGAGGUACGGCUAUAGUAACCAAACACCUAUAGAUUUAACUAAUGUACAGUCAGGCCCAAAAUGUUUGGCAC
rnacentral:lncRNA from 1 species